rnacentral:rRNA from 1 species
AUGGCCGGCCCUGACCUCCUCCGCCCAGAUCCAGGUCUGGCCAUCGUGGUCAUGGGGGUCAGCGGCUGCGGCAAAUCCUCUGAUGCCAAUUUUCUGUUCUGCCGCAGGACCGUGGCGGCGAUGCUCGCGGAGGCGCUGGGCUGCGGCUUCGUCGAGGCGGACGACUACCACUCCCAGACAAACAAAGAUAAGAUGAGCAGGGGCGUCCCGCUCACCGACGAGGACCGCCUCCCGUGGCUGGAGUCGCUGCGCGACGCCAUCCGGGACCGGCUGGGCCGCGGCGAGGACGUCGCCGUCAGCUGCUCGGCGCUGCGGCUAGGGUACAGGGAGGUGCUCCGAGAAGGUGAUCGGAACUACAAGCCAGGGAGCUACGGGUCCUGCAGGGUGAAGUUCGUGUGCCUGGAGGCGUCGGCGGAGGUGAUCGCCGAGCGAGUGGAGCGGAGGGCGGCGGAAGGGGACCACUUCAUGCCGGCGAGCCUGGUGCGGAGCCAGCUGGACCUGCUCGAGAUCGACGCGGCGGAGGGGAUCACCGUAGUCGACGCCACCGUGCCCGCCCACGCCAUCGUCGAAGCCACCAUCACCCAGUUCAGGGAGGAGCUGGCCUCGACGGCGCGCUGA